ACGCAGCUCAUCGGUAGAUGCACGGGUGCACGGCGUCGCAUUGCGACCUGCGGCAUUUUCUCAUGUUCGCGCAAUCGGUGUGAAACAUGUCGCAUGUGAAAUAUUUGAUAGAAGUGCCGCACGUCCAAGUCAAGCCGCCGUACGGGUGUAUGGCUGUGUGCCCCGUUCUCGGAAGCGUCGACGGGUUUCCGGCAUGCGGAUUUCAGCGUUUGGACUCGACUUUUGGUGAGGAUGUCGAUCGACCUUGGGCCUGGUGACAGCACACCCGACAUGGCCAAAGUGCAGCCUAUCAGUUGAGUGCCCCCGAAUGGACCAUCAACAUCGGAAAAUGAAACAGAGCCAGGGGGAAAAGGUUCCGGUAACACCAUGCAUUCAGUAUGGUGGCCCAGACGUGUAUGCAAGCAACCUCCUUCACGGGACCAAGAACUACUCUGCAGUGUCUCGCAGACUUCCAUGCGAAGUCCUCAACAUUCUCGUCUCAGUGGAAUGGCUGCUCAUCUAUCUGCGUGUCCAUCACGAAGACGGCCAGCUGUAAAGCUCCUGUACCCGUUUAAGAAAGCUUAAUGAUUCUUUUAUUUAAUUUUCAUGGUUGGCCGUAGAAUCUUAACAUUUUUACCUGGCACAACGUGGUGCAAUAACUUUAAAUCAGUGUGAUGUAUUUAAGUGAUGCUCACUCUAAUGCCUAUCUGGUUUUGUUUGUGAGUGUUUAAGAAAUUUGUAUGUCUGAUGAGGUAACAGCAUUUGAAUUUGUCAUCGUGGCUCGUUUCAAUGAGCUGCUAGGAAAUAAGACGCAAAACUUAUCACACGCCAGUUGUAGCAUUUUUGUUUUCAUG